GACGAACGCUGGCGGCGUGCCUAAUACAUGCAAGUAGAACGCUGAAGGAGGAGCUUGCUUCUCUGGAUGAGUUGCGAACGGGUGAGUAACGCGUAGGUAACCUGCCUGGUAGCGGGGGAUAACUAUUGGAAACGAUAGCUAAUACCGCAUAAUAGUAGAUGUUGCAUGACAUUUGCUUAAAAGGUGCAAUUGCAUCACUACCAGAUGGACCUGCGUUGUAUUAGCUAGUUGGUGGGGUAACGGCGCACCAAGGCGACGAUACAUAGCCGACCUGAGAGGGGGAUCGGCCCAACUGGGACUGAGACACGGCCCAGGAUCCUACGGGAGGCAGCAGUAGGGAAUCUUCGGCAAUGGACGGAAGUCUGACCGAGCAACGCCGGGUGAGUGAAGAAGGUUUUCGGAUCGUAAAGCUCUGUUGUAAGGGAAGAAAGAGUGUGGGAGUGGAAAGUUCACACUGUGACGGUAUCUUACCAGAAAGGGACGGCUAACUACGUG
rnacentral:rRNA from 1 species